rnacentral:rRNA from 1 species
GUGCCAGCAGCCGCGGUAAUACGGAGGGUGCAAGCGUUACUCGGAAUUACUAGGCGUAAAGCGCGGGUAGGUGGUCCGGUAAGUCUGUUGUGAAAGCUCCCGGCUCAACUGGGAGAGGUCAAUGGAUACUGCUGGACUUGAAUGUGGGAGAGGUGACUGGAAUUCCCGGUGUAGCGGUGAAAUGCGUAGAGAUCGGGAGGAACACCAAUGGCGAAGGCAGGUCACUGGACCACUAUUGACACUGAGCCGCGAAAGCUGGGGGAUCAAACAGGAUUAGAUACCCUGGUAGUCCCAGCUGUAAACUAUGCUCACUAGGUGUUGCGCGUAUCGACCCGUGCAGUGCCGUAGCUAACGCGUUAAGUGUCCCGCCUGGGGAGUACGCUCGCAAGAGUGAAACUCAAAGGAAUUGACGG